rnacentral:rRNA from 1 species
AGUCGAACGGCAGCACGGGAGCAAUCCUGGUGGCGAGUGGCGAACGGGUGAGUAAUACAUCGGAACGUGUCCUGGAGUGGGGGAUAGCCCGGCGAAAGCCGGAUUAAUACCGCAUACGCUCUAUGGAGGAAAGCGGGGGAUCUUCGGACCUCGCGCUCAAGGGGCGGCCGAUGGCAGAUUAGGUAGUUGGUGGGGUAAAGGCCUACCAAGCCGACGAUCUGUAGCUGGUCUGAGAGGACGACCAGCCACACUGGGACUGAGACACGGCCCAGACUCCUACGGGAGGCAGCAGUGGGGAAUUUUGGACAAUGGGCGCAAGCCUGAUCCAGCAAUGCCGCGUGUGUGAAGAAGGCCUUCGGGUUGUAAAGCACUUUUGUCCGGGAAGAAAUCCCUGGUCCUAAUAUGGCCGGGGGAUGACGGUACUGGAAGAAUAAGCACCGGCUAACUACGUGCCAGCAGCCGCGGUAAUACGUAGGGUGCGAGCGUUAAUCGGAAUUACUGGGCGUAAAGCGUGCGCAGGCGGUGAUGUAAGACCGAUGUGAAAUCCCCGGGCUCAACCUGGGAACUGCAUUGGUGACUGCAUCGCUCGAGUAUGGCAGAGGGGGGUAGAAUUCCACGUGUAGCAGUGAAAUGCGUAGAGAUGUGGAGGAAUACCGAUGGCGAAGGCAGCCCCCUGGGUCAAUACUGACGCUCAUGCACGA